AUUGAACGCUGGCGGCAGGCUUAACACAUGCAAGUCGAGCGGGGUGAUGGUGCUUGCACUAUCACUUAGCGGCGGACGGGUGAGUAAUGCUUAGGAAUCUGCCUAUUAGUGGGGGACAACAUCUCGAAAGGGAUGCUAAUACCGCAUACGUCCUACGGGAGAAAGCAGGGGAUCACUUGUGACCUUGCGCUAAUAGAUGAGCCUAAGUCGGAUUAGCUAGUUGGUGGGGUAAAGGCCUACCAAGGCGACGAUCUGUAGCGGGUCUGAGAGGAUGAUCCGCCACACUGGGACUGAGACACGGCCCAGACUCCUACGGGAGGCAGCAGUGGGGAAUAUUGGACAAUGGGGGGAACCCUGAUCCAGCCAUGCCGCGUGUGUGAAGGAGGCCUUAUGGUUGUAAAGCACUUUAAGCGAGGAGGAGGCUCUUUUGGUUAAUACCCAAGAUGAGUGGACGUUACUCGCAGAAUAAGCACCGGCUAACUCUGUGCCAGCCGCCGCAGUAACAC
rnacentral:rRNA from 1 species